GGAAAGGUGCUCGAGUGGUUGAAGAGGCACGCCUGGAAAGCGUGUAUACUCCUAAAGGGUAUCACGGGUUCGAAUCCCGUUCUUUCCGCCA
rnacentral:tRNA from 1 species